rnacentral:rRNA from 1 species
GUCGUAACAAGGUUUCCGUAGGUGAACCUGCGGAAGGAUCAUUACAAAAAAGAUUUCCAACUCAACCAAGCCUUUAUGUUGUGGUGGUGUGCUUCGGCGCAUAGCCACAUCAAAAACAAACUAAAAAUCAAAGAAACAUAAGUAAGACCUAAACAAAAACCAAAUUCUCAACGGUGGAUGUCUAGGUUCCCACAACGAUGAAGAACGCAGCGAAGUGCGAUAAGCAGUGCGAAUUGCAGAACCGUGAGUCAUCAGAUUUUUGAACGCAACUUGCGCCAACGGUGGUAACAUCGUGGCACGUCUGGUCCAGUGUCUUAUUUUCUCAUCACCCAAAUCAUAAUGCGAGAGAUGCCCUUCUCUUGUCAAGUAUGAAAGCACUCUGCAGCUGCGAGCGACCUUCUGGUCGCACUCAAUGCGGUCGUCACAUUCUCGUAAUGUGAACUCAUUGAGAGCAGAGGCAGUGCGGCAAUAGCUGCCAGUGCUUAGUCAAGCCAACUUCGGUAUCGUAUCUGGGCUCAGGUGGGACUACCCGCUGAACUUAAGCAUAUCACUAAGCGGAGGAAAAGAAACUAACAAGGAUGGCCUCAGUAAUGGCGAAUGAAGCGGCCAGAGCCCAAGAUGGAAAUCACCGUGCAGCGUACGGCGAAUUGUAAUCUGGAGAGGAAAGGCUCAUAGGGCGGAGGCGCAGAACAGUCUGGAAAGGCUGGCCAUAGAGGGUGAUAGCCCCGUACGUGGCGCCGCUGCCUAACGAGCAAUUCAUCAAAGAGUCGGGUUGUUUGAUAUUGCAGCCCCAAGCGGGAGAUAAACUUCUUCUAAGGCUAAAUACAUGUGGGAAACCGAUAGCGAACAAGUACUGUGAAGGAAAGAUGAAAAGCAAUUUGGAAAGAAUGUUAAAAGACCUGAAACCGUUGAGAAGGAAGCGGUAGAGAAGAAUAGUACUCGAAGGCGCUGAUCCGGAGCUUCGGCGAAGGGGUGUGCUUAGAGUGAGGCCGGAUGGAGCAGUGCCACCGCAAAGACACCGUAGACAGACGCUUCGGUAGAAUCUGCGGAAAGUCGGUGGAGGUGCUGCUCGAGGGGCUACGUGCGAUCCGGUCAAAAUGGUCUUUACCGACUCGUCUUGAAACACGAACCAAGGAGUCUAACGUAUACGCGAGUGUGAAGGUGGAGAAACCGUCACGCGAAAUGAAAGUGAGUGAUGCCAAAUUAGCAGCAUCGACCGACCGGCGUUUCGGCAAAGGUUUGAGUAUGAGCGUGUCCGCUAGGACCCGAAAGAUGGUGAACUAUGCGUGA